rnacentral:rRNA from 1 species
GUCUGUUUGGAGGUAUAAAAAGUCUAGCCUGCCCACUGAUAAAUAUUUAAAGGGCCGCGGUAUCUUGACUGUGCAAAGGUAGCAUAAUCGUUAGUUUUUUAAUUGAAAUCUUGUAUGAAUGGUUUGACAAAAAAAAAUCUGUCUCUAUAAUUAUUUAUUGAAUUUAACUUUUAAGUGAAAAGGCUUAAAUAAAUUAAAAAGACGAUAAGACCCUAUAAAACUUAAUAUUAUAUUUUUUAUUUGAUUAAAUUUUAAAUAAUAUAAAAAUUUAAUAAUUGAUAUUUAUUUUAUUGGGGCGAUAAUGGUAAAAUUUUUGUUAACUGUUAUUUUUUUUCAGACAAAAAUAAAUGAAUAAUAAUUAUUUAAAUGAUCCUAUGUUAUAGAUUAAAAGUUUAAGUUACUUUAGGGAUAACAGCGUUAUUUUUUUUGAGAGUUCUUAUCGAGAAAAAAGUUUGCGACCUCGAUGUUGAAUUAAAAUAUCUAUAUAAUUGUAGCAGUUAUAUAAGAAGGUCUGUUCGACCUUUAAAAUUUUACAUGAUUUGAGUUCAGACCGGCGUAAGCCAGGUCGGUUUCUAUCUUUUAAUAUUAAAAAAUUAUUUUAGUACGAAAGGAUUAAAUAAUUAAAAUUAUUUUAAAAUGAUUGAAUGAAG